AAUCAACGCUGGCGGCGUGCCUCAGACAUGCAAGUCGAACGAUUAAGACUCCCUUCGGGGAGUGCAUAAAGUGGCGCACGGGUGAGUAACACGUAAGUAAUCUGCCCUCGAGUGGGGAAUAACACCGGGAAACCGGUGCUAAUACCGCAUAACGCAGCGGCACCGCAAGGUGACAGUUGUUAAAGGAGCAAUCCGCUUGAGGAGGAGCUUGCGGCAGAUUAGCUAGUUGGUAAGGUAAUGGCUUACCAAGGCUACGAUCUGUAACCGGUCUAAGAGGACGGUCGGUCACACUGACACUGAAUAACGGGUCAGACUCCUACGGGAGGCAGCAGUCGGGAAUUUUGGGCAAUGGGCGAAAGCCUGACCCAGCAACGCCGCGUGAAGGAUGAAGUAUUUCGGUAUGUAAACUUCGAAAGAAUGGGAAGAAUAAAUGACGGUACCAUUUAUAAGGUCCGGCUAACUACGUGCCAGCAGCCGCGGUAAUACGUAGGGACCAAGCGUUGUUCGGAUUUACUGGGCGUAAA
rnacentral:rRNA from 1 species